rnacentral:lncRNA from 1 species
UGUGGGUACUCAUUUUUUUCAUGGAAUUUGAUGAAAACUUGCAUUUCGUGGAAGAUGUGAUAUGAGAACCAAUGAGACAACUCUCCAUCCAAAUAACAAUUUAUAAAAGUAAACAGUUAUAGGUCAAGGUACGGCCUUCAACACGGAGCAAAGUCUGUAUACGAGCCUCUAUGAAAUUUGUCAUUUGCUGAACAUUUUGGUUCAUCUGUACUGACCAAACCCACGGUAUCCAACCAACAAUAAUGAAUCUCACAGUCU